rnacentral:rRNA from 1 species
CCGGGAGACAGACGGCGGGUGCUAAGGUCCGUCGUCAAAAGGGAAACAGCCCUAACCUACAGCUAAGGUCCCCAAGUCAUAUCUAAGUGGGAAAGCAUGUGGGAAUCCCAAAACAACCAGGAGGUUGGCUUAGAAGCAGCCAUCCUUUAAAGAAAGCGUAACAGCUCACUGGUCUAAACAAGCCGUCCUGCGCCGAAGAUGUAUCGGGGCUAAAGUCGUGUACCGAAGCUGUGGAC